GAUGAACGCUGGCGGCGUGCCUAAUACAUGCAAGUCGAGCGAACGGACGAGAAGCUUGCUUCUCUGAUGUUAGCGGCGGACGGGUGAGUAACACGUGGAUAACCUACCUAUAAGACUGGGAUAACUUCGGGAAACCGGAGCUAAUACCGGAUGAUAUUUUGAACCGCAUGGUUCAAAAGUGAAAGACGGUCUUGCUGUCACUUAUAGAUGGAUCCGCGCUGCAUUAGCUAGUUGGUAAGGUAACGGCUUACCAAGGCAACGAUGCAUAGCCGACCUGAGAGGGGGAUCGGCCACACUGGAACUGGGACACGGUCCAGACUCCUACGGGAGGCAGCAGUAGGGAAUCUUCCGCAAUGGGCGAAAGCCUGACGGAGCAACGCCGCGUGAGUGAUGAAGGUCUUCGGAUCGUAAAACUCUGUUAUUAGGGAAGAACAUAUGUGUAAGUAAAUGUGCACAUCUUGACGGUACCUAAUCAGAAAGCCACGGCUAACUACGUG
rnacentral:rRNA from 1 species